GACAGAGGCCUCAAGCGUUAGGCGGAAUCACUGGGCUUAAAGCGUGUGUAGGCGGGUCGUUAAGUACCUUGUGAAAUCCCACGGCUCACCCGUGGAACUGCUGGGUAUGACUGGCGAUCUUGGGCCAUUUAGGGGCAACUGGAACAAGCGGUGGAGCGGUGAAAUGCGUAGAUAUCGCUUGGAACGCCAAAGGUGAAACAGGUUGCUGGGAAUGUGCCGACGCU
rnacentral:rRNA from 1 species